CCCGGGUCUUGUACACACCGCCCGUCACACCAUGGGAGCGGGAUGUACCAGAAGUAGGUAGCUUAACCGCAAGGGGGGCGCUUACCACGGUAGGAUUCGUGACUGGGGUG
rnacentral:rRNA from 1 species